UACGGAGGGGGCUAGCGUUGUUCGGAAUUACUGGGCGUAAAGGGCGCGCAGGCGGCUGCUCAAGUCAGGCGUGAAAGGCCUGGGCUCAACCCGGGAAUUGCGCUUGAGACUGGGCUGGCUUGAGUGCGGGAGAGGAUGGUGGAAUUCCCAGUGUAGAGGUGAAAUUCGUAGAUAUUCGGAAGAACACCAGUGGCGAAGGCGACUUACUGGACGACUGUUGACGCUGAGGUGCGAAAGCGUGGGGAGCAAACAGGG
rnacentral:rRNA from 1 species